rnacentral:lncRNA from 1 species
GAGAGCAAGCUCGAUCAGGGUCCUUACCUCCAGCCUGAACACUUGAAUUCCAAAUAAGCCGGCGCCCAGAGAGCAUCGCUCGAUCAGGGACCUUAACUCCGGCAAUCAACUGAACUCAGCCCAGAGAGCAAGCUCGAUCAGGGCAAACAAAUCCAUAAUAACCUUAUGUCCAUGAUCAUUACCGGUGCGCACGCGGUCCUGAUGUAACCCAUCAGGCGGCAUGUUCUACAAGCCACAUUUCCCAAUUCGCAAUCAUCACAUAUAAUAAAUAUCAUUAUCUGAUGAACUCAACCAACACAUAUCGAAAUAAAGAUUAAAGAUUUAAGGUAAAACAACGUGCAAUUUGUGAGGGGAAAAAU